rnacentral:rRNA from 1 species
AACGAACGCUGGCGGCAGGCUUAACACAUGCAAGUCGAGCGCCCCGCAAGGGGAGCGGCAGACGGGUGAGUAACGCGUGGGAAUCUACCCAUCUCUACGGAAUAACGCACGGAAACGUGCGCUAAUACCGUAUACGUCCUUCGGGAGAAAGAUUUAUCGGAGAUGGAUGAGCCCGCGUUGGAUUAGCUAGUUGGUGGGGUAAAGGCCUACCAAGGCGACGAUCCAUAGCUGGUCUGAGAGGAUGAUCAGCCACACUGGGACUGAGACACGGCCCAGACUCCUACGGGAGGCAGCAGUGGGGAAUAUUGGACAAUGGGCGCAAGCCUGAUCCAGCCAUGCCGCGUGAGUGAUGAAGGCCCUAGGGUUGUAAAGCUCUUUCACCGGUGAAGAUAAUGACGGUAACCGGAGAAGAAGCCCCGGCUAACUUCGUGCCAGCCGCCGCGGUAAGAC